CGUACGAACGUUAUUCGGAAUCACUGGGCUUAAAGGGUGCGUAGGCUGCGCAGAAAGUUGGGUGUGAAAUCCCUCGGCUUAACCGAGGAACUGCGCCCAAAACUGCUGUGCUCGAGGGAGAUAGAGGUGAGCGGAACUUAGGGUGGAGCGGUGAAAUGCGUUGAUAUCCUAAGGAACACCGGUGGCGAAAGCGGCUCACUGGAUCUCUUCUGACGCUGAGGCACGAAAGCUAGGGUAGCGAACGGG
rnacentral:rRNA from 1 species